CUGGAGGUAUCAGAAGUGCGAAUGCUGACAUAAGUAACGAUAAAGCGGGUGAAAAGCCCGCUCGCCGGAAGACCAAGGGUUCCUGUCCAACGUUAAUCGGGGCAGGGUGAGUCGACCCCUAAGGCGAGGCCGAAAGGCGUAGUCGAUGGGAAACGGGUUAAUAUUCCCGUACUUGGUGUUACUGCGAAGGGGGGACGGAGAAGGCUAUGUUGGCCGGGCGACGGUUGUCCCGGUUUAAGCGUGUAGGCUGGUUUUCCAGGCAAAUCCGGAAAAUCAAGGCUGAGGCGUGAUGACGAGGCACUACGGUGCUGAAGCAACAAAUGCCCUGCUUCCAGGAAAAGCCUCUAAGCAUCAGGUAACAUCAAAUCGUACCCCAAACCGACACAGGUGGUCAGGUAGAGAAUACCAAGGCGCUUGAGAGAACUCGGGUGAAGGAACUAGGCAAAAUGGUGCCGUAACUUCGGGAGAAGGCACGCUGACACGUAGGUGAAGUGAUUUACUCACGGAGCUGAAGUCAGUCGAAGAUACCAGCUGGCUGCAACUGUUUAUUAAAAACACAGCACUGUGCAAACACGAAAGUGGACGUAUACGGUGUGACGCCUGCCCGGUGCCGGAAGGUUAAUUGAUGGGGUCAGCGCAAGCGAAGCUCCUGAUCGAAGCCCCGGUAAACGGCGGCCGUAACUAUAACGGUCCUAAGGUAGCGAAAUUCCUUGUCGGGUAAGUUCCGACCUGCACGAAUGGCGUAAUGAUGGCCAGGCUGUCUCCACCCGAGACUCAGUGAAAUUGAACUCGCUGUGAAGAUGCAGUGUACCCGCGGCAAGACGGAAAGACCCCGUGAACCUUUACUAUAGCUUGACACUGAACAUUGAGCCUUGAUGUGUAGGAUAGGUGGGAGGCUUUGAAGUGUGGACGCCAGUCUGCAUGGAGCCGACCUUGAAAUACCACCCUUUAAUGUUUGAUGUUCUAACGUGGACCCGUUACCCGGGUUGCGGACAGUGUCUGGUGGGUAGUUUGACUGGGGCGGUCUCCUCCUAAAGAGUAACGGAGGAGCACGAAGGUUGGCUAAUCCUGGUCGGACAUCAGGAGGUUAGUGCAAUGGCAUAAGCCAGCUUGACUGCGAGCGUGACGGCGCGAGCAGGUGCGAAAGCAGGUCAUAGUGAUCCGGUGGUUCUGAAUGGAAGGGCCAUCGCUCAACGGAUAAAAGGUACUCCGGGGAUAACAGGCUGAUACCGCCCAAGAGUUCAUAUCGACGGCGGUGUUUGGCACCUCGAUGUCGGCUCAUCACAUCCUGGGGCUGAAGUAGGUCCCAAGGGUAUGGCUGUUCGCCAUUUAAAGUGGUACGCGAGCUGGGUUUAGAACGUCGUGAGACAGUUCGGUCCCUAUCUGCCGUGGGCGCUGGAGAACUGAGGGGGGCUGCUCCUAGUACGAGAGGACCGGAGUGGACGCAUCACUGGUGUUCGGGUUGUCAUGCCAAUGGCACUGCCCGGUAGCUAAAUGCGGAAGAGAUAAGUGCUGAAAGCAUCUAAGCACGAAACUUGCCCCGAG
rnacentral:rRNA from 3 species